rnacentral:rRNA from 1 species
GAUGAACGCUGGCGGCGUGCCUAAUACAUGCAAGUCGAGCGAACGGACGAGAAGCUUGCUUCUCUGAUGUUAGCGGCGGACGGGUGAGUAACACGUGGAUAACCUACCUAUAAGACUGGGAUAACUUCGGGAAACCGGAGCUAAUACCGGAUAAUAUUUUGAACCGCAUGGUUCAAAAGUGAAAGACGGUCUUCCUGUCACUUAUAGAUGGAUCCGCGCUGCAUUAGCUAGUUGGUAAGGUAACGGCUUACCAAGGCAACGAUGCAUAGCCGACCUGAGAGGGUGAUCGGCCACACUGGAACUGAGACACGGUCCAGACUCCUACGGGAGGCAGCAGUAGGGAAUCUUCCGCAAUGGGCGAAAGCCUGACGGAGCAACGCCGCGUGAGUGAUGAAGGUCUUCGGAUCGUAAAACUCUGUUAUUAGGGAAGAACAUAUGUGUAAGUAACUGUGCACAUCUUGACGGUACCUAAUCAGAAAGCCACGGCUAACUACGUG